AAUAAUUUAUUUGAUGGUCUCUUACUACAUGGAUAACUGUAGUAAUUCUAGAGCUAAUACAUGCGUAAAAUCUCGACUCUAGCGGGGAGAGAUGUAUUUAUUAGAUAAAAAACCAAUGCGGGCUUUGCCCGGUUUUGUGGUGAAUCAUAGUAACUUUUCGAAGCGCAUGGCUUCACGCCGGCGCUAGUUCAUUCAAAUUUCUGCCCUAUCAGCCUUCGACGGUAGUGUAGUGGACUACCGUGGCAUUAACGGGUAACGGAGAAUUAGGGUUCGAUUCCGGAGAGGGAGCCUGAGAAACGGCUACCACA
rnacentral:rRNA from 1 species